GGCCUGAUGGUCUAGUAGUAUGAUUCCUUGUUAGGGUGCCAGGGUACACAUCUCUGUUCACAAUUUCGAGGAGGUCCCGGGUUCAAUUCCCGGUUAGGCCC